AAUAGGCGAAAAAUGUGUGGGUU
rnacentral:snRNA from 1 species